CGGGACUUCGAGAGAAAUCCACGAAGCCCUUAUUUGCUGGAUUUGGUGAAGAGCUUGGAGUUAGCUCGAGCACUGGACUUGGAGGACUCCGGUUGAUCCAGCAAGGAUCAUUUUGGUUCGAGGCUUCGGUUGCUGCCAGAAGCUAGCAUUUCGAGAGCCCCAGGUUUCGGCUGCUGCACUCUCCGAGACGGAUCGAGGCAAGGGC